rnacentral:rRNA from 1 species
AUUGAACGCUGGCGGCAGGCCUAACACAUGCAAGUCGAGCGGAUGAAGGGAGCUUGCUCCUGGAUUCAGCGGCGGACGGGUGAGUAAUGCCUAGGAAUCUGCCUGGUAGUGGGGGAUAACGUCCGGAAACGGGCGCUAAUACCGCAUACGUCCUGAGGGAGAAAGUGGGGGAUCUUCGGACCUCACGCUAUCAGAUGAGCCUAGGUCGGAUUAGCUAGUUGGUGGGGUAAAGGCCUACCAAGGCGACGAUCCGUAACUGGUCUGAGAGGAUGAUCGGUCACACUGGAACUGAGACACGGUCCAGACUCCUACGGGAGGCAGCAGUGGGGAAUAUUGGACAAUGGGCGAAAGCCUGAUCCAGCCAUGCCGCGUGUGUGAAGAAGGUCUUCGGACUGUAAAGCACUUUAAGUUGGGAGGAAGGGCAGUAAGUUAAUACCUUGCUGUUUUGACGUUACCAACAGAAUAAGCACCGGCUAACUUCGUG